CGCGCAGUUGCGCUGCGACUCCUCCCACGUGGCCCGCAGGAUGGAGAAAAGGUAGCAGGAGCCCUGGAAGGGCAGCCACGAUGCGGGGCACUCCUCACAGGAGCCUGUGGGAUGGCGAAGGUCAAAGAGACCAUCCCGGCUCGCCGCCUCCAAUCCCGGCCCAAGCCCCGCCCCCAGCACACACGUCUUACAGCAGCUGUUGCAGGCUCGGACCUCCGCGUUCAAAACACCCAGCGCCGCCUUCUGCUUCGAGGCUGGAAUGACCCCCGCACGCCCCCCACACACUCCAGGUCAUCUGCGGGGACUCAAACAGGACACCCUCCCCCACUCCGGGGCCAACCCCUGGGACCGAAGGGGUCCUCACCCACCCACUACCCUGUCUCCAGGGUCCUAGACACUCCCGGCCCUCACAUCUGGGGGGGGGGGGGAGGCGCUAAGAGUCACCGAGUCACCGUUCUGCACGCACCGUUUGUCCUCAGCAGGUCCUGGUGGCCGAACAGCGCCCCUCGCUCUGUGGAGGCUGUGGAGAGAGGCUCCUGCAGGCGGGGCCGGGGCCUCCGGAACUCUCCCCUUGCCCAGGGGGUGCAGGAGCUCCCAUCUCCGGACGCACAGAAGGGACCGGCAGGCGCACAGCGCACGUGAUGUGCACACACACACACACACACACAGACACACACGCCGAGGAGAGACAUGCACGCAUAUGCAUACACAGGUGCCUGGAGGCUGGAUUUGACCCCCGAUUUGACCUUGAUUCAAUCCUUCUUGGCCAGAAGGGAGAACACGGACAUCUGUUGGGUGGUGGCCAGCUAAGCUUCUGCAUUGGAUCUUUUGCCCGUUGAAAGAAACGGAUUGCCUCGUUGCGUCUGAGAGAGCAAGAUGGUCACCGGCAGCUUUACUGGAGCCGAAGAAGCUGGGCCAGGGUUCCCGUUCUUGCUGUGUCUGCUCGGACUGGCACAGUCUGCUCCAGAAAUACGGCUCAAUAUGUGCCCGCCAGUGUCUCCGUCACUAUGAAGUGAAGGAUACAGGCUUCGCUAAGUUGGAUUAAGAGCUUCCUUGAAUGGAUUAUCCAAGAUAACUACCUUAAUGCUCACUCAUUGUACAUGUAUAAAAAUACUUCAA